GGGGUUGUAACUCAGUUGGUUAGAGUGUAAGUCUGUCAUACUUAAAGACGCGGGUUCAAAUCCCGUCAAUCCCG
rnacentral:tRNA from 1 species